CCGAAACAGUAGGGGUGGGCGCCGUGUCGGGUUGGAGGAUGUUGUUAAGAAACGGCAUGAACAUAUCGGAGGAAGAAUCUAGCGAUUCUGGGUUGUUGGAGAGAGACUUCUGGAGGGCCCUGGUGAGGGUUUUGGUGUCGCGCGAGAAGGUCUCGGAGAUCCACGAGUCGGCGAACGUGUUGGUCCUGAAGGCCCAGGGCUCCAUCAUGCUCGCUACGUUCUCCGACGACGCCAUCAAAACCGGGAAAAACAAAAACUCAGAGUCUAGCAAGAUAGAAGCUUUCGUCUUCCCUUAUCUAAACCGUGUUGGGUUAUCGGGUUACUCGGUUAUCGUAAAAUCAA
rnacentral:lncRNA from 1 species